AUAAGUAGGAGGGAUGAAACCAACAGAGAUUAGAUUCUCUCUACAGAGAUUUCUUCAGCACAAAGAUCCAACCAUUUUACCUACAAUCACUGCCACGAUGACCAACUCUCAGGAGCAUCUGACUCUGAACCACAAGACUUCAACUUGGAAAACACACAUUCUGGCUUUUUUCUUGAGAAGACAGCAGAAGCAGCCACAGCAUUCACCCUAUUAAUGCUGCUGCAGAUGUGUCCAAGAGGUGGUGAACUUCCUGUUCAAAGACCAGCUGAAGACACAGUCCCAUAGAGAACUGCUGAACCAGUUUAACAAGCUCCAGUUUUCCUCUGAGAAGAACUUGUGAAACUUAGGUCUUUGAGCUUUAUAGCUCAGACAAGUGUCUAUAAAGACCGCAGCGCCUUCUAUGGGCCAUAGUAGGGGCAUGUAGACUGAGGUUAUAUCCUUAAGACCAUAUUGGUGUAUAUUAUUACAAAUGCUACAAAUGAUGAAACAUUUGUUGUGUUACUGUUCCUAUAUGUUUCCUAAGGAAAUAGCAGUCAAAUCUUUUAACACUAGAACGUCUAGAAAAGAAAAUUCAGCAAGUGUUUGGACAAACAAACACUGAAUACUUUAUGAUGUAGAUGGUCUUUCAGAAUUUACUGAAAGUUUUCACUAUUUCUCACUAUGUGUAUAUAUGUGGUGUGCUGUAUUUCCUUAAGGAAACUGUGUGUUACUUUGUAAUGAGUUUUCUUUUUAAUAUUUUCCUUUUUUCUAAAAAUAGAUCUUGUCAGAAUUAUAGCAGUUUCAAAUGAAAAUUAUAUAUAAUUAAUAAUCUGCCAUCAUGUGUUUGAAAUGAUAUUGAGAAGACCUGUUGUAAAGUCAUUUUUAUCACUGCUUUCUUAAAAGUAGACAUUUUUCUCUUAUCUUAUUUGCUUCAUGUAAAGCAAAACUACUAUUGUUUUCAUCAUAAUAUGUGUCUUUUGUAAAGACGACUGUUCCUCUACUCUAAUUUUUGAGUAAAUUGUCUUGAAAAUGUUUACAAGUCAUUUUUGUGAUGUGUCAUCAGAUUUAUAUGACUCUACUGAGAGUACAAAAUGUGUUAAAUAAAAGUAUUUGAAAUAAAUUAA